rnacentral:rRNA from 1 species
AAACGACUCUCGGCAACGGAUAUCUCGGCUCUCGCAUCGAUGAAGAACGUAGCGAAAUGMGAUACUUGGUGUGAAUUGCAGAAUCCCGUGAACCAUCGAGUCUUUGAACGCAUGUUGCGCCCGAAGCCUUCUGGCCGAGGGCACGCCUGCCUGGGCGUCACGCAU